rnacentral:misc_RNA from 2 species
AACGCACAUUGCGCUCCCUGGUAUUCCGGGGAGCAUGCCUGUUCGAGCGUCAUUAUCAACCAUCAAGCCCUGCUUGGUAUUGGGUGCCGUCCCUGCUGUGGACGCGCCCUAAAGACGUCGGCGGUGGUGUUAUACCUCAAGCGUAGUAAAAUCUCCAGCUUUUCAGGUCUAGCAUCGUCUGCCUCUAGAAACCCACAUCUUUAAGGUUGACCUCGGAUCAGGUAGGGAUACCCGCUGAACUUAA